rnacentral:lncRNA from 1 species
AAUUCAGCGCAGUAGUGCAGUGCUGCACCUAACCUAACCUAACCUAACCUGAGUCAUAUAGUCGUAGAUUUGAACUGACUCUUCUUACAGUUUCAGACCAAAACACACUUAAGGAGGAACGAACGGGUUAAAGUAGCCUUAAUACUGGGCUAAAGAAAAAUCUGCCCAGACAAGGUAUGGUUUGCUGUGGCUAUUACAGUUCUU